GUGACCUGCGGAGGAUCAUUAAUGAAUUCAAGAGAGUUGAUGCUGGCGGUCUUGUGGCUGCAUGUGCUCGCUCUCCUAAUCCAAUUUACACCUGUGCACUUAACUUUGAAGGGAGGGUAAAACCUGCCUUCGAAAUCUUUAAACUCUUAUAUAACGAAUGUUUAUCUGCCGCAAGGCAAAAUUUAAUACAACUUUUAACAACGGAUCUCUUGGCUCUCGCAUCGAUGAAGAACGCAGCGAAAUGCGAUAAGUAAUGUGAAUUGCAGAAUUCAGUGAAUCAUCGAAUCUUUGAACGCACCUUGCGCUCCCUGGUAUUCCGGGGAGCACGCCUGUUCGAGUGUCAUGAAACUCUCAAGCAAGAUAGAUUUAUUUCUAUCUCUGUUUGGAUAUGGACUCUGCCGCGUCAAUGCGGCUGGUCUUAAAUAUAUUAGCUGGUCCUAGUGAAGGUUUGGUUCUACUCAGCAUGAUAAUUAUCUGAUGUUGAGGACAGUCUUAGGACUGGCCAGGCUCUCUCUGGAUUGCUUCUAAUCGUCUUUGGACAAUUAAUCAAUAUCUGACCUCGAAUCAGGUGGGACUACCCGCUGAACUUAAGC
rnacentral:rRNA from 1 species